rnacentral:rRNA from 1 species
AUGCCGCUGACGCAUCGAAAGGCCCUCGAUUCCAUCGCCUUGCUCGUUCCCUGGAUGAUAUGGAAGCACAGGAAUGCAUGUGUCUUCGACAAUGCGAUGCCCUCCAUCGAUUCGCUAGUUGAUAGGAUCAAAGACGAGGCCCGAUGUUGGGCAAAGGCAGGAGCCCAGGGGCUUAGGGUUGUUCUGCCCACAUCCUGGGAUGUCCAUUGA